GGGGAUGGCUGCAACUAACUGCUGCUGUUCGCUGGUCUGUUUCGAGGGACGUCAGGCGGCGGCGGUAGGCCUUGUCGGCUGCUGCGGCCGUCGAUUUUGAGAGGGAGGCGGCGGGAGUGACAGGAGUCGAGGGAGAAGUGUUCCGGGCGGCGCUCGUCGCCGGGCACGAUGGAGCAGUCGAGGGAGAGAGGAGCAGUUGAGGGAGAGGAGAGUUAAGGGGCGACGGCGUGUCCGGCGGUGGCUGCCGUCGUCCGCCGGAAGAG
rnacentral:lncRNA from 1 species